rnacentral:rRNA from 1 species
CAAGUCGAGCGGAAACGACAACAUUGAAUCUUCGGAGGAUUUGUUGGGCGUCGAGCGGCGGACGGGUGAGUAAUGCCUAGGAAAUUGCCUUGAUGUGGGGGAUAACCAUUGGAAACGAUGGCUAAUACCGCAUAAUGCCUACGGGCCAAAGAGGGGGACCUUCGGGCCUCUCGCGUCAAGAUAUGCCUAGGUGGGAUUAGCUAGUUGGUGAGGUAAUGGCUCACCAAGGCGACGAUCCCUAGCUGGUCUGAGAGGAUGAUCAGCCACACUGGAACUGAGACACGGUCCAGACUCCUACGGGAGGCAGCAGUGGGGAAUAUUGCACAAUGGGCGAAAGCCUGAUGCAGCCAUGCCGCGUGUAUGAAGAAGGCCUUCGGGUUGUAAAGUACUUUCAGUUGUGAGGAAGGGGGUAACGUUAAUAGCGUUAUCUCUUGACGUUAGCAACAGAAGAAGCACCGGCUAACUCC